CUCCAGGAGUUGGUGAUGGACAGGGAGGCCUGGCGUGCUGCAAUUCAUGGGGUCGCAAAGAGUCAGACACGACUGAGCAACUGAACUGAACUGAACUGAACCUAGACGUAAAUGGGUAAAUAGACGGGGGAACUUACACAUCUGACACAAGGCCCUGGAGUGACACCCUACCGUGUGCAACAGACAGAGGUCUUUGCACAUACUGUUCCUUCCUCUUCAUUAAGAGUUUACCUGAGGGGCUUCUCUGGUGGCUCAGUGGUAAAAAAUCUGCCUGCCAGUGCAGGAGACACAGGUUUGAUCACUGAUCGGGAGGAUCUCACGUACCAUGGAGCAGCUGAGCCCAUGCGUGGGCCACAACUAUCGAGCCUGUGCUUGAGCCUGGGAGCUACAAUUACUGAAGCCUGUGUGCUCUAGAGCCUGUGGUCUGCAGUGAGAAGCCACCACAAUGAGAAGCCCAUGUACAGCAAACAGAGAGUAGCCCCCGCUCUCUGAAACUAGAGAAGAGCUCUCAUAGCAACAGACUCAGCACAGCCAUAAAUAAAUAAAGUUAUAUGUAAGAAAAGAAUUUGUUUGAACAACUUUCCCAAUUGUCAGGGUCUCAGCUUAGACCAUAUGCCCUCUGGAGAAGCACUUCUUGAACACUCUGGGUCUGACUUAGUGUACCUACUCUGGGCUCUGCAGCACUUCCCCUAUUGUGGGGCUCAUUGCUUUGGACUGGAAUUGCCUUUUUUUUCCCUUAGGCCAUACUGGGCAGCAUAAGGCAUCUUAUUUCGCCAGCCAGGGGGUGGAACCAGGCCCCCUGCAUUGGAAGCAUGGAAUGUUAACCACUGGACAGCCAGGGAAGUCCCUGGAAUUGCCUUGUUACAUUUCUGUCUACCCUGCAGUUAGCAUGAGUGCUGCCUACAUUUCCCCCAGGGGUUAGUCUUGCUCUCUAAGUAUACUGAGUGGUUAGUACAGUGCCUGGCACAUAGGCAUCCCAUAGGUACUUGCUGGAGAAGGAAAUAACCGAUGACGGCCUGGCCCUGCCUCCCUUCACCUUCGACCACCUGCAGGCUCUCUGGGUUCCCGCGCGAUGAGGAUGAGCAAUGUUCAUUGCUCAACAUGGCAAUGGGGCCCACUGUUGUUUGGUGCUGACUGCUGACCCAGAGCCUGCCUGCUGCUGUCCAGCCACCCCCGCCCUCAGACCCAUCGUUUGUCUGCUGGACUGGAUGCGCUUUCUGUGCCCCGCGUCUGCCCCACCUGGAGAGUAGGUCUGGCAGGUAAAAGUCCCUCCUGGGACUCUGGGCGGUAUCCGACUGAGUAUCCACCUAUGGCGCCAUUCACAGAGAUGGACUUAAUCCAUACAUAAACAAUCUAUAUUUGACAAUCACAAGAGACUGAAAAGAGGGCAAAGCUACUUUUCACCCAUUCUUUGAGAACGGGAAUGACGAAUAACGGAAAUACGAAUAACCGAUACAUUGUGAACUCCCAGCUGAACACAACCCAGGACCAGAGUUUGGGGCUCUCUUGUUAGGCAAAGCUAUAACCCUUUAGUUGCUGAAUGUGGGGAGCCCAGGAGAGGGGCCAGAGCUGAGCGAGUUUGGUCUUAAAGUGGAACAGGACAGCAGGUGUAUGGCAACCAGUAUAGAAUAAUUUCAAUACCUUCACAACCCAUAAUAGCACCUUGGUGUGUUCUAGCUGAAUGUGUUUCUUCUACCAGUGACCGUGGUCAUCAGCAGGAUGAUACAGAACUGGAGUGAUUGGGUUGAAUGAUUGAAAGGACAGCUUGUCUACUAUUGUCUAAAAUAGCAUCAUCCGUUUGCCUCAGCAAAUUAUUUGUGGUUCAGAUGGGGAAAUGAACAAUCCACUCUGGUGAUGUUUCCCUGUGACUUGGGGAUUGAGAAACACACUGUGGGAAUACAAAAGCUAGUACCGACUCAGCUUCUGCCCAGAACAAGAGUUGACAAGAACUGAGUGUGUGUGUUUGUCUAGAUAUGUGUCUAGAGAUAUGUGUCUAGAUAUGUGUCUAGAGUGUGUGUGUUUGUAUGUGUGUGAUGUGUGGUCUCUGUGUGUGUGAUGUGGGGAGUAAUAUAAAAGUUUCUAAACUGCCAUGGUUGUGGUAUGAAGGUGUGGUUGUGUGUACAUGGUCCUGCGUUCUGGAUGGGACUGCGAAGAUGGAGUCUGCGGGAAGAAAAGAAUGGAGGGAGCCAUCUCUUAGCCAAGUCCUUAGAGUGAGUUGUACACCAUCAUCCCGGGAGGCCGAUUGAACAGGAGACUGGCUGGGACCACCUAGCAACUGACAGCACUCAGUGAUGGUCCGCCUGCUUGGGUGGGCUCCCUACCUCUGCAAGAACAUUUUGACAAAAAAGGAGAGAAAGGACAUCCCAGUUUCCUUUGUAGCUUCUCUACUGUUUCUUGUUAGUGUGCUGUUUUUUUUGUUUUGUUUUUUUUCAGUAUAGCUUUUUGCCAAAAGAACUUGCCCUAGAGAGCUUAUGAGGAAAACUUAAGGCCUUAGUCAGUCUCAGACCACAUCAGACAAAGCAAAGCCUUCAGCCCAGAGGAGAUUUUCUCCUUUCCCAGCAGUGACAGUAGCACAGGGUUUAAAAAGGAUUUUGGUCAUGGGAGUAUCAUAAUGAACAACCUGUUCUAGGAGCCUGAGGACUCUGAUAGAUCCGACGAGAGGCAACAAACACCUUGUCCAAGGUCACUGCACAGCUUCUCUCUGAUUGAGUAUUGGCAGGGCUGGGGUGGAGUUACUGGUCAGCAUAGAUGAUUGGGAGCUUCCCAGGUGGCCCUAGUGGUAAAGAACCUGCCUGCGAAAUCAGGAGAUAUAAGAGACAUCAGUUAGAUCCCAGGGUGGGGACGAUCCCAUAGAGGAAGAAAUGACAACCUACUCCAGUAUUCUCGCCGGGAGAAUCCAAGGUAGAUUGUUGGAAGAGCAGAGUCUCACUCCGGGCUCCCUGACCCCCAGCUAACAGGAUCCUCUAAUUCUCUGGCACCUUUAGAAUCUCAUGGAUCAUGUGGGGCUGUGACCCAAUUGUCAUGGUCUCUCCAAGCCCCAGGUGUGAGGGCUUGGACUGUCUUGGUCCUCAGCAAGGGAGCACCAUGAGGCCUUGACAUAAAAGUCACCAGUAAUGACACUUGAGCUUACUGAGGUCCACUUGUAAAAUUAGGGGUUUCCCUGGUGGCUCAGCCUGUAAAGGAUCUGCCCACAAUUCAAGAAACCUGGGUGCAAUCCCUGGGUUGGGAAGACCCCAUGGAGAAGGGAAUGGCUACCCACUCCAUUACUCUUCUUGCCUGGAGAAUUCCAUGGACAGAGGAGGCUGGCAGGCUGCAGUCCAUGGGGUCACAAAGAGUUGGACACAACUGAGUAACUAACACUUUCACUUGUAGAAUUAUUUUAAGAAACUAAUUGAAUGGGCCUCAUUCUCCAUUUUUGGAAAACCUUUUCCUAAAUGAUUAACUGAUGAUAUAAAAUGAAAAUGUUUCCAGCUGGUUGCCGACCACGUUCUCAACCAUCUCUCCAGCUCAAAGGUCUUUGAUGUCUCUGUAAAUGUUCAGGACACAGUUCUCCCAAGUUCACUCUUAGACCAUUUGAGGAAUAGCCUGAUUUUUUAAAAAAAUCUUUUUUAUCAAGAUAUAAUUUACACACAGUGAAAUGCUCAGAUCUAACCUAUAGAGUUUGAUGAGUUUUGACGUAUAUUUACAGAGUGGAACCAUUACACCAAUGAAGACAUAAAACAUUUCUAUUUCCUGGAAAAUUCCUUCUUGUUCUUUUCCAGUCAAUCCAAUUCUUCUAACUUCUAUCACCAUAAACUGUUUUUUUCUUUUUUCUAGUGUCUAUUACAGACUGAAUGUUUAUGUCCCUCCAAAAUUCAUCUGUUGAUGGUAUUAGGAGAUGAGGUCUUUGGGAAAUGAUCAGGUCAUGAGGGUAGAGCCCUCAUGAAUGGUCGUGCCCGUAUAGAAGGGAUCCUGGAGAGAUUCCCUCACCCAUCCUAUGUAAGAGAGUGAGAGCAUGGGAACUCUAUCAACCAGGAAGAAAGCCCUCACCAGACACCAAAACUGCUGGUGUUUUUACCUUGGACUUCCCAGCCUCCAAACUAUAAGAGAUAAAGUUCUGCUGUUUUUAAGUCACCCAGUCUGUGGUAUUCUGUUAUAGCAGCCCAGACAAAUCAAGAUUGUCAUAUAAGUGAAAUCAAACAGUACCUAAUCUUCUGUGUCUUGUUUCCUUCACUCAGCAUAAUGUCUAUGAGAUUCGUCUAUGUUGUUUAAUAUAUUGGUAAUCCUUUUCUUUUUAUUGCAGAAGAGUUUCCCAUUGUGUGUAUAGUCCGCAAUUUGUUUAUCCAUUCAUCCAUUGAUGAAUCAUUGGGUUUUUCCAGCAUUUGGCUACCAAGAAUAAAGUUGCUAUAAACAUUUACACAGAUUUCUUUGUGUGGGCUGGAUAUAAGUUUUGUUUAUCUAAGGUAAAAGUGUCUAGGAGUAGAACUACUGGGCCAUAAAGCAGGUGGAUAUUUAACUUUACAAUAAAAAUAUGGCUUGUUUUAUAGAUAACUUUUGUGAAGGGACGUUUAGAAAUCAGCUUGCAAAAACCACAUCAAAAAAGUCUCUACAAGGAGAAGGUGGUAAGAGAGAGGUCACAGCCUUUAUGGAAAAUGGCUGUUUUAACCAACUCCCGAAUAUGCGCUAACUUUGGGCUGUACUCAAGAAAAUGCUGUUCACAUUACUAAUGGAAAUGGACUAAGUAGAGUGGCAAUACUGAGAUACACAGAAGGUUAUUUGUGCCAAAAUGUUGACCAAACCUUUUGGAAUUUUGCCUUAAGCCCAACCAAUUACAAUUUAGCAGGUUGAUUUAUUGAGAAUGUAAACUCUGGAAAUGUCACACUUUGAAAAGCUCAUCUGAGUUCUAAAUUUUCACUUCUGUAGAUUCCGUCUUACCCCAGGAAAGAUAAACAAGCUUUUCUGUGAUUUGAGGGUUUGGAUAACUGGGCCUUCACUGUCUGCCAGAUGUACUGUCAACCCUUAUUCUAUGAGACAGCAGCUCUAGGAAGCUUUUGCAUUUGGGGGACUAAACAGGAGAAAUGGAUCUGACGUUGGCUGGCCCCUUGGGAACUGGAGUAAGGGAAAAUGAUGGCAUCCCACACAGGGGAGUCCUGAACCCCGUGGAGACCCUGCUUCUCUUGCAAGACCUCCAAGCAAACAACUACAGGGUAGCUGGUGAGGUGGGAAGCCAGGAAGUGUGGCCAGGAAAGCUUAUACGAGAGGCUGGACUUGUUCUCCCACCUGCAAAGCGGGGCCGUCAGAAGUAGGAAAGUAGAGCAUGAAACCACAGUUAGAGAAACCGCAGCAUCAGUAGGCUCCUGGGAGGUCUCAGGGGACCAAAACCACGGAUACUGCCUUUCCUGGCAAUGUUAGUUGUUCUCUGUCAUGGGAUGAAUCAUUGUUUACUGUGUUUCAGACCCUUCACGUAUUAGAGUUUUAUACUUGCAUCCUAACUCGUGACUCUGCGGUGGUACACAUUAGCAUGAAGGAAAUAUACUUCUGCCUUUGAUGUUGGCAUAGCCACGUGACCAGUUUUAAUCAAUGAAGUGUGGGCAAGAGGUACUCACGAGGCCUCAGGAGGCAUCAAGGGUCUCUGCUCAACUUCCUGGGCUCCUGCCACUUGCCAUGAAAGGAACGUGCCCUGGCAGGGCUAGUCCAAGGAAAAUGAGGAAGGUGGAUGUAAGCCAAUUUGAAGGCUUAAUCCGCGCCAGGGAGGUUUGUGGCUUCAAGCAGAGCUUUCCCAGCCAAACUACAGAUCUGAGAGAAAAAAAUCAAUGUUUGUUGUUGUAUGCCAUUGAGUUUUGUGUGAUUUGUUAUGCAGAAUUAUUAUAGCAUUUGCCGACUGAUGCAUAACACUAAUAUUGCUCUCCUCUUCUUUCACAG
ensembl:lncRNA